CACGUAGGCACCAAGCGUUGUCCGGAUUUAUUGGGCGUAAAGAGCUCGUAGGCGGUUCGGUAAGUCGGGUGUGAAAACUUUGGGCUCAACCCAAAGCGUGCACUCGAUACUGUCGUGACUAGAGUUCGGUAGGGGAGUGGGGAAUUCCUAGUGUAGCGGUGAAAUGCGCAGAUAUUAGGAGGAACACCGGUGGCGAAGGCGCCACUCUGGGCCGAAACUGACGCUGAGGAGCGAAAGCGUGGGUAGCAAACUGG
rnacentral:rRNA from 1 species